rnacentral:rRNA from 1 species
UACAGAGGUCUCAAGCGUUGUUCGGAUUCAUUGGGCGUAAAGGGCGCGUAGGCUGCGGGGCAAGUCGGGUGUGAAAUCUCAGAGCUCAACUCUGAAACUGCACUCGAUACUGCUUUGCUUGAGGACUGGAGAGGAGAUUGGAAUUCACGGUGUAGCAGUGAAAAUGCGUAGAUAUCGUGAGGAAGACCAGUGGCGAAGGCGGAUCUCUGGACAGUUCCUGACGCUGAGGCGCGAAGGCCAGGGGGAGCAAAACGGGG